rnacentral:rRNA from 1 species
GAUGAACGCUGGCGGCGUGCUUAACACAUGCAAGUCGAACGGAACACCUUUUCUUGUAGCUUCGGUUGCAAGUAGAGACUGUUUAGUGGCGGACGGGUGAGUAACGCGUGAGCAACCUACCUUUCGGAGGGGGACAACAGUUGGAAACGACUGCUAAUACCGCAUAAUGUGCUCUGAUCGCAUGAUUGGAGAACCAAAGAUUUAUCGCCGAAAGAUGGGCUCGCGUCUGAUUAGCUAGUUGGUAGGGUAGAGGCCUACCAAGGCAACGAUCAGUAGCCGGACUGAGAGGUUGACCGGCCACAUUGGGACUGAGAUACGGCCCAGACUCCUACGGGAGGCAGCAGUGGGGAAUAUUGGGCAAUGGGCGCAAGCCUGACCCAGCAACGCCGCGUGAAGGAAGAAGGCUUUCGGGUUGUAAACUUCUUUGACAGGGGAAGAAAGCAAUGACGGUACCCUGAGAACAAGCCACGGCUAACUACGUGCCAGCAGCCGCGGUAAUACGUAGGUGGCAAGCGUUAUCCGGAUUUACUGGGUGUAAAGGGCGUGUAGGCGGGACGGCAAGUCAGAUGUGAAAACUAUGGGCUCAACCCAUAGCCUGCAUUUGAAACUGUCGUUCUUGAGUGAUGGAGAGGUAAGUGGAAUUCCUAGUGUAGCGGUGAAAUGCGUAGAUAUUAGGAGGAACACCAGUGGCGAAGGCGACUUACUGGACAUUAACUGACGCUGAGGCGCGAAAGCGUGG